UAGUUGUGACAGCCAGGAAACCGAGAACGGAAUGCCAAUACUGCUUAGGCUUAGAGUUUGAAAGGCAUCUGAUUUCACUGCCAUGUCUUUGAACAGCAGUGCACAGUGCAGUCUUCUUCGUGGCUGAACAGAGCUAAGGUCUUGCUAUGUUGCCUAGACUGGUUUUGAACUCCUGGGCUGAAGCAAUCCUCCCACUUCGGCCUCUCAAAGUGCUGGGAUAUCAGACAUGAGCCACCUGCCAUGCUUGGCCUAUCAGAGCUGAAUAAUUGUAUUGGAGAAUGUGUGGCCCACAAAGCUUGACUAUCUGGCCCUAUACAGAAGAAGUUUGCUGAUCUCUGACUUAGCUGCCUAGGAAUAGCCAGGCAACCAGCUGCUACUUUGAGCACCCGGCUAAAAUAAGCAGAGACAACUGGAAGGCUUGAUGUGAAAAAGAGCUGUUGAAGUGUACACAAGCAAGCUGACUGCCUUAUGACUAAUACUUGACAGAACCCAGCAAGAGGAUAUGAGAUUGCAGAUGGAUGACCUCAAUCCUGAACAGAAAGGCGUGCAUGAUAAUGGAGAGAAAAAAGCCAAUGGGGAAAAAAAACCCACCACUAUUUUUUUAAUAGCCUAACACACACACAAAAAACUGGUUUUCCUUUUUCUGUAAUGUGUCUGUAGAGCUGGCUAUUCUGAUUAAAGUUGCCCUUGAAAAAGCA
rnacentral:lncRNA from 1 species